rnacentral:rRNA from 1 species
AACGGCCUACGGGAGGCAGCAGUGGGGAAUAUUGGGCAAUGGGCGCAAGCCUGACCCAGCAACGCCGCGUGAAGGAAGAAGGCUUUCGGGUUGUAAACUUCUUUUAUCAGGGACGAAGCAAGUGACGGUACCUGAUGAAUAAGCCACGGCUAACUACGUGCCAGCAGCCGCGGUAAUACGUAGGUGGCAAGCGUUAUCCGGAUUUACUGGGUGUAAAGGGCGUGUAGGCGGGAGUGCAAGUCAGAUGUGAAAACUAUGGGCUCAACCCAUAACCUGCAUUUGUAACUG